GACGAACGCUGGCGGCGUGCCUAACACAUGCAAGUCGAACGGAAAGGCCCUGCUUUUGUGGGGUGCUCGAGUGGCGAACGGGUGAGUAACACGUGAGUAACCUGCCCUUGACUUUGGGAUAACUUCAGGAAACUGGGGCUAAUACCGGAUAGGAGCUCCUGCUGCAUGGUGGGGGUUGGAAAGUUUCGGCGGUUGGGGAUGGACUCGCGGCUUAUCAGCUUGUUGGUGGGGUAGUGGCUUACCAAGGCUUUGACGGGUAGCCGGCCUGAGAGGGUGACCGGCCUCAUUGGGACUGAGAGACGGCCCAGACUCCUACGGGAGGCAGCAGUGGGGAAUAUUACACAAUGGGCGGAAGCCUGAUGCAGCAACGCCGCGUGCGGGAUGACGGCCUUCGGGUUGUAAACCGCUUUCGCCUGUGACGAAGCGGGAGUGACGGUAAUGGGUAAAGAAGCACCGGCUAACUACGUG
rnacentral:rRNA from 1 species